rnacentral:rRNA from 1 species
UACAGAGGGUGCGAGCGUUGUCCUGAAUCACUGGGCGUAAAGGGCGCGUAGGUGGUUGGGGAAGCGUGUGGUGAAAGCCCGGGGCUCAACCCCGGGUCGGCCAUGCGAACUGCCCGACUGGAGCACGGUAGAGGCCAAUGGAAUUCCGGGUGUAGCGGUGGAAUGCGUAGAGAUCCGGAAGAACACCGGUGGCGAAGGCGGUUGGCUGGGCCGUGGCUGACACUGAUGCGCGACAGCGUGGGGAGCAAACAGG